AAUUUGUUACCAACCAUCACUCUAGCUGGUCAGCUCCGUUUCAAGCAGUAACUCAGGAAAAUCCACUCGGAGCGCGCCGAUCAGCCAGGAUGUCGGGAGUGUACACUGUUUGUGAACUGGAUGCAAUAUUGUGCCCACAUCUUUUCUCAUCUCCCUGUCUGACUGUCAAGUCCCAGGACCCAUGAUCACUUGCGUCACGUCUAAGCCACGGAGGUGGCCCAGCCUUGAUCCCUGCAGGCCUCUGAGGUCACCCUGAGGGAGCAUUACAGAGGUGAGGAGAGCACCUGAGGGAUCUGAGGGAGGCAGAACUUGCAGGGCCUCCUCCUUGCCCAGCAAUGUACCAGCUCCCCACAGGGCUUCUUUUUGGCUGAGGCUGGCAGCUUGACAUUUGCUUAUUGCUCCCUCUGUCACAAAAUAUGCCUUUCACUCAGAUCAAAGGGGCCCACCCAUGGCUACCAUUCCAUGGGUGGCCACAUGUCCUGCCAAGGCCUCCCUUGUGUGGGCACCAUUACGGUUUGGCCAGUCUGACGAGGAGAGCCGGGAGGAGGGGCAGAUGUGGAUUUUAUGGCAAGUACAAAUGCAGAUUUUAAACAGUGAAGUCUCACACGGUUUUGACAGAAACCUCCCUGUCCUCCAAGCGCUGCUCUCAUCUUUUCUCCAAGCCUGUGAGUUCAUGUGCUCUUAGGAAAACCUGUCACAGAAUACUUAAAAUUCAGUAGGUGCACUGUGACAUGUGGCACUGCACAGCCCUUGCUGAGGUCUAUGCCAUGGGCCUUCUUUGGAGAGCUCUUCACAGCUUCUGAAAGGCUGGAGCUGGGGGAAGUACAUCCAGCAUGUUAUCAAGAAAGGCCAGAAGUACAAUGUCCAGCUUUUUCUUUGCAAAAAAUGGUUUGAGCUUUUAAACCUUGAAAAAUUAUUUUUUUCUCUGCCCUUCUGGAAUCUGCUUUUCUGGACGGGAAAGGUGUAGCAGUCCUUCCUCUCUGGGACAAUUUAAGCUACGCUGUAAUAGAUGUUACUACAGGGAGCUGAGUGACAAUUCCAGCCUGAGUCCCAGACCUCUUCUCCCCCCUGACUAACUACAAAGGCCAGCUUGGCUUUAGACAAAGAGUUCCUGUGAGUUUUGACAAAUGGGAAUAAAUAUGCUAUUAAAU
ensembl:lncRNA